rnacentral:rRNA from 1 species
CCAAUAGCGUAUAUUAAAGUUGUUGCAGUUAAAAAGCUCGUAGUUGAAUUUCGGGGUUAGUAGGUUGGUCAUGCCUCUGGUAUGUACUGGUCUCACUGAUUCCUCCUUCCUGAUGAACCUUAAUGCCAUUAAUUUGGUGUUUUGGGGAAUUUGGACUGUUACUUUGAAAAAAUUAGAGUGUUUAAAGCAAGCUAACGCUUGAAUACAUUAGCAUGGAAUAAUGAAAUAGGACGUUCGAUCCUAUUUUGUUGGUUUCUAGGAUUGACGUAAUGAUUAAUAGGGAUAGUUGGGGGCAUUAGUAUUCAAUUGUCAGAGGUGAAAUUCUUGGAUUUAUUGAAGACUAACUACUGCGAAAGCAUUUGCCAAGGAUGUUUUCAUUAAUCAAGAACGAAAGUUAGGGGAUCGAAGACGAUCAGAUACCGUCGUAGUCUUAACCAUAAACUAUGCCGACUAGGAAUCAGACGAUGUUAAUUUUUUAAUGACUCGUUUGGCACCUUACG